rnacentral:misc_RNA from 1 species
GAUGAAGAACGCAGCAAAAUGCGAUAAGUAAUGUGAAUUGCAGAAUUCAGUGAAUCAUCGAAUCUUUGAACGCACAUUGCGCCCUCUGGUAUUCCGGAGGGCAUGCCUGUCUGAGCGUCAUUGUCAACCCUCAAGCUCAGCUUGCUGUUGGGUCCCCGUCGUUGCUUUAACGGCGGACCCGAAAGGUAAUGGCAGAGUCCGUGAGACCCUAGACGCAGCGAGCUUCUAGCACGCGUCUGGACGUUUUUCGGGCUCGGUCUUAACUAGAUGAUAACUUCCGAUUGACCUCAGAUCAGGUAGGGAUACCCGCUGAACUUAAGCAUAUCAAUAAGCGGAGGA